rnacentral:misc_RNA from 1 species
GAAUGGAGGCCAUAGGUGGUCUUGAUCGAAGAUGAAUCUUUUUCCUGACGUUAUUUCUGUUCCAUAUUACUGAGGUUACUGUUAGUGGAGUGUGGAUUUUUACAGAAUUUCAUAUUUUUAUUAACCCUUCGUAGGCAACCUGGGUUAUUCACGUCCCAAGCGAAAUUUCAAUCUUAACAGUAGGGGGUGGUAGUGGCCUGUUGCAUGGAUCCUCGAGGUCGCACUGGCUACGAAGGAAUACUUCUAGAAGGCCCAUGAACAACAUGAAGGACGAACCACCGCAUGUUGAUGCUAAAGUUGGCCCCGUUGAAGGCGUUAGUGGACAGUUACAGCUCAUCUGGAACGUUUAUUGAUUUUUUAACAAACCUGAGAUGAGCGUAUAUGGACCUGGUGAGAGCCGUAAGAGAAAAGAAACGGAAAUCGGCUUUCUCAAAUACACUGGAAAGAGAAUAGCAGAAAGUAUGAAAUGAACGUACGAAGAGAUUACUUGACUUUUCAAAUCAAAGGAAUUCAUAAUAGAAGUAAUAAUUAUUUUACGUUAAAUAACAUUUGUCG